rnacentral:rRNA from 1 species
UGGGGAAUUUUCCGCAAUGGGCGCAAGCCUGACGGAGCAACGCCGCGUGAGGGAGGAAGGCCUGUGGGUUGUAAACUUCUUUUCUCUAGGAAGAAGGACUGACGGUACUAGAGGAAUCAGCAUCGGCUAACUCCGUGCCAGCAGCCGCGGUAAGACGGAGGAUGCAAGCGUUAUCCGGAAUUAUUGGGCGUAAAGCGUCCGUAGGCGGUUAUUCAAGUCUGCUGUUAAAGACCACAGCUCAACUGUGGGCAGGCGGUGGAAACUGAGUAACUAGAGUUCGGUAGGGGUAGAGGGAAUUCCCAGUGUAGCGGUGAAAUGCGUAGAUAUUGGGAAGAACACCAGUGGCGAAGGCGCUCUACUGGGCCGAGACUGACGCUGAUGGACGAAAGCUAGGGGAGCGAAAGGGAUUAGAUACCCCCGUAGUCC